rnacentral:lncRNA from 1 species
UAUUGGUUGUUAAACAGAAAAACAAGUAGGAUCACGUGAUUCUACGCGUCAUUUCAAGCAAUCUACACGUAAAGAACAUCUCCAAUGGAGCUACGGUUCAAAAGAUACAAGCACCACAAGAUAUGAUGGCAUGAAUGCAAUAUGUGUGCAUCUACGGUCACGAGCACUUCAAGACAUACAACCAGCAAGAGAAAAUGAAACUACACGAGAUUCUAAGCAAGUUUCAUGUAGGACACGAUCAAAUCGGAGCUACGGUUCAACAACUACGAGCAAAACAAGAAAUCACUACAAUCUGCCAAAAUCAGCCACAUAGCAUUUUCUACGCCCCUCAACUACGAGGUACAC